AGAACUGAAAUUGCUUGGCAAGUAUUGGCAAGAAGCCUCGUACAAAAGGAGAGAAGAAUUUGUUCCUGGCAGCUUUCAAACCAACAAAAAGCCGGCAUUUGCGUUACAAACACAUGUCCCCGAAGCUUUGUAGGCUCCUGCCCUCAGGAGGCAAGCAGUUUGCUCUUGGGUAGCAGCAACUCAAUGUGCUUCAAAGGAUUCCUUCUGAUUCCUCAUUCAGUGCAAGUUCUCCGACCCAUGGAGGUCUCGGUACAGGAGGGGAAGAAAGUAGGUCAGUGGCAUCUACCUCAGGACUGGCCCAUUGGAAGAUGUACCUUGCACCUGGGGCAGCAAUAAAGUCAAGAAAGAGACACAGCAUGAACGGGGGAGGGGCAGAGAGAGAG